rnacentral:rRNA from 1 species
UGUGCUGCGUGGGUGUCCUCCUCUCGUGUCGUGAGAUGUUGGUUUAUCUCCCGUAACGAGCGCACCCCUUGUCCUUUUUUCCCAACACGUUGAGGUGGGCACUCUAAGGAGACUGCCGGUGACAAACCGGAGGAAGGUGGGGAUGACCUCAAGUCAUCAUGGCCCUUACGGCCGGGGCUACACACGUGCUACAAUGGUCGGUACAAAGGGUUGCCAACCCGCGAGGUGGAGCUAAUCCCAUAAAACCGAUCAUAUUCCGGAUCGCACUCUGCAACUCCACUGCGUGAACUCAGAAUCGC